AUUGAACGCUGGCGGCAUGCCUUACACAUGCAAGUCGAACGGUAACAGGGAGCUUGCUCCGCUGACGAGUGGCGAACGGGUGAGUAAUACAUCGGAACGUGUCCUGUAGUGGGGGAUAGCCCGGCGAAAGCCGGAUUAAUACCGCAUACGCUCUACGGAGGAAAGGGGGGGAUCUUCGGACCUCUCGCUAUAGGGGCGGCCGAUGGCAGAUUAGCUAGUUGGUGGGGUAAAGGCCUACCAAGGCGACGAUCUGUAGCUGGUCUGAGAGGACGACCAGCCACACUGGGACUGAGACACGGCCCAGACUCCUACGGGAGGCAGCAGUGGGGAAUUUUGGACAAUGGGCGCAAGCCUGAUCCAGCAAUGCCGCGUGUGUGAAGAAGGCCUUCGGGUUGUAAAGCACUUUUGUUCGGGAAGAAAAGGAGCGGGCUAAUAUCCUGCUCUGAUGACGGUACCGGAAGAAUAAGCACCGGCUAACUACGUGC
rnacentral:rRNA from 1 species